GGUCCUAUAGUCUAGUGGUUAGGACGUUGGAUUUUGAUGACCCUCAUCGAAAUUAUCUUCCGAAGUCCCCGGUUCGAACCCGGGUAGGACCU